AGAAACCUUCCGAGGCCCGCCCGCUCGCCCGCCCAACUCUCCCGAGGUCCCCCCACAAGUGGCUUUCGUGGGGCCGGUCACGUGGCCCCCGCGCGUCCUGCUGCCAUUUCUAUUUAUUAUCCUAAUAUUUAGGAAGACAGGCCAAGCGGGCGCUGAAGGAAACUCCCGACGACGUAACGACUGCACGCCUUCGGAGCGCUCACGGCAGGCCGGGGCGCGGCGGCACACCGCGGGGAGGGGCGGCUCGCCACUGCUAUCCCUGGGACGGACGGGGAAACUGAGCACUUGCAAGAACUUCUGAAUUGCAUGUUCACUUACAUAAGGACAAAGGAAACCCUCACGUAAAUGCACUUGGGAAUUCAGGAUUGCUUGGCUUGUGCCCCAUAUUACAUAAGUCAUGGAGCAGCAUCCACACGGAUCUCACUCCAGCCUAGGCUCACCUGGAAGUCACUCUUCUCCCAAGCUGGCCUCAAACU